UACAGAGGGUGCGAGCGUUAAUCGGAAUUACUGGGCGUAAAGCGUGCGUAGACGGCUAUCUAAGUCGGGUGUGAAAGCCCCGGACUCAACCUGGGAAUUGCAUUCGAGACUGAGUAGCUAGGGUGCGGUAGAGGGAAGCGGAAUUUCCGGUGUAGCGGUGAAAUGCGUAGAUAUCGGAAGGAACAUCAGUGGCGAAAGCGGCUUCCUGGACCAGCACCGACGUUCAGGCACGAAAGCGUGGGGAGCAAACAGG
rnacentral:rRNA from 1 species